UAUUGCGAGCGUUUGUUAAUUUCGGCAGGCCGCUGCGGCCACGGUGUUCGACGCGCUAGCUCGCCUUCCUGUGUUUCCCCGGCGGCGGGAAGAGCCCGGUCCGCGUCGCGCAGGCGCGUAGGCGCUCUGCGGCGGCGCUCUCCCCCUCCGGCCGCAGCAGUGCGCAGCCAUGCUGGCCGGCUCAUGGACGGGGCGACUGGCGGCGCGGCCUCGCUGAGCAGCCCAUGGAGCGCAAGCGGUCCUCCCGCCGGCAUCACCACCACCACGGAGCCGGCGGGGCGGCCGCGUCGGCCGUGGCGCCGCCCGAGAACCGCUGCAAGUCGUGUUGCCGCAAGUUCACCGCGUUCCUCUUUUCACACGUGGGUCUGUGUGCGCUCGUCGUCGGCUACAGCAUCUUGGGCGCAUUCGCCUUUCGCGCGCUCGAAGCGCCCUACGAGGUUGAGAAGGCCAGCCAGGUGAUAGCCAUGCGCCGCGAUACCGUGACGCGCCUGUGGGAGAUCACGGACCGGCUGAACGUGCUCUACAAGGAGAACUGGACAGCCGCGGUGUCCCACGAGAUACUGGACUUCCAGGCGCGGCUCAUAGCCGCCGUUAAGGACGGCUACGACGGCAAGGAGAUUGGCACGGGCGGACAGCAGUGGUCCUUCUCGGGGGCUUUUCUCUACUCCCUCACUGUCAUCACAACAAUCGGGUACGGCAACAUAGCGCCUCGCACCAACUGGGGAAAAAUUGUGACCAUCCUGUACGCCAUCGUGGGCAUCCCUCUGAUGCUGCUCUACCUGACCAACAUCGGCGACAUUCUAGCCAAGGCGUUCCGAUACGUGUACGGCAAGCUGUGCACGUGCAGGCCGAGCGGCACGCAGCGCAGGCGCCGUGUGCCUUUGCAAGCGAACCACCUGCAGCGCAACUCCGUGGCCGAGAACUACCGAGUGCACCACAUUGUCUCGCACAAUGCGCUCGACGGACAGGAGAAGCUGCGUGCCUGCGAUGACCAGGUCCGUAUCGAGAACCUGACCACGGGUGACGACGAGGUGUACGAGGACGGCGCCAGCAAACCGAGAGUGUCGGUGCCGAUCACGCUAUGCUUUGUCAUCAUGAUCGGCUACAUCUCCGGAGGUGCCGUCAUCUUCUCGCUCUGGGAGGGCUGGGAGUUUCUCGAUGGCUCCUACUUCUGCUUUGUCACGCUGAGCACUAUCGGCUUCGGUGACUUGGUGCCGGGUGACACGGUCGUCUCAGACAGCGGCUCUCAGGAGAAGCUCGUGAUCUGCUCGCUCUACCUCCUGGUUGGCAUGGCAUUGAUAGCUAUGUGCUUUAACCUAAUGCAGGAGGAAGUUAUUUACAAAGUGAGAAACUGUGGCAAACGCAUCGGGAUCAUCAAGGACGCCGACGACGACGAGGACUUCUCCUGAGAUGUGCUGCUGCGUCCACUACUUCUGCCGAAAGGGGCGUUGCGCCCCAUUGUCCUUCUUCGUCGGUUAGCAGGAAAAAAUAAGACUCCUUGAGCGCGAUUGCAAGCUAAAGUUUCUGUACUGGUUCUGUUCGCUGCGAAAUGGCGUGAUUGCGAAAGUACUCCGUGCUCGAGUCAGUCUGAAACCGGUUUUUUAGAACUUGAAUUAGAAGCACGAUUGAUUGCGCUGUCGUAGCGCUGCUCAUUGAGACGAAUUAAGGAGGGACAGGCGACCGUGCUUUUACGAUUUCCCGCGGUUCCCCAGUGUUGUCGCUCUAGGUGCGGUGCGCCGAUUGACCAAAGAACAUGGCGGCGCCCGUCUUCUUCCCCAACUCGUAACCUGUACUGCGGCCCCGAUUCAUAGCAGAGCCGUUAACCAAAACCGUCGCAUCGGUGUUUGAGAUCUACGCAUAAAUGCAUAAUUUGCUGCUUUCAUUCUAGAAGGCAUUGCUGUAUGGAGCAGAUCACCAGAAAGUAAGAGCGGAAACCAGAGCAAAGAGCAGCGGGAGACCGCGUUGCUGAGCUGUGCACCAGAAGACCGACUUAAAGCAAUACAGCAGGACGAUGAUGCCGCCAGGGCCCAAGGGCUCGAGGCCAUCAUAUAGGCAAGUUGCUGUUGUGCUGGAGCUGAGAAGAGGUCUGCUGCCUGCAAUGGGUCCAUCUCUCUCAAGUUAUUGCAGUAUUGUAGCUCUCAAGGUUCGAAAAAAGUAUGGUGGAAGCUGUUGCCAAGGUUCCGACCAGAAAAGACAGCCAGUAUAAA